AAAUCCGCCUUUAGUGAAGAUGUGGUUACAUGUCCUAACUGCUCCUCACACUUUCACUGGUUAUAGCAAGUUCCUGUUAAAGGUUCAAGUACAUUAGGUUAAUGACACUAAGAGGAUAAGUACAAUUCUCUGCUAUUGAAGACUGCAUUGAGAAGUAUUCUAAGUAUAGUAUUGUUAAAUAUGUUGUCAUUGCUAUAGGUUAAUUGUUUGCUGUUAGAAGCUGUAUAUUAAA